rnacentral:ncRNA from 1 species
UGUCUCCUCCACCUCCUCCUUUGGUGGAUUAAACCCGAGCCUCAAGGCGCUCGGGUUUUUUUUC